rnacentral:rRNA from 1 species
AUUGAACGCUGGCGGCAUGCCUUACACAUGCAAGUCGAACGGCAGCACGGGAGCAAUCCUGGUGGCGAGUGGCGAACGGGUGAGUAAUAUAUCGGAACGUGCCCAGUAGUGGGGGAUAACUGCUCGAAAGAGCAGCUAAUACCGCAUACGACCUGAGGGUGAAAGCGGGGGAUCGCAAGACCUCGCGCUAUUGGAGCGGCCGAUAUCAGAUUAGCUAGUUGGUGAGGUAAAGGCUCACCAAGGCGACGAUCUGUAGCUGGUCUGAGAGGACGGAGCGCCACACUGGGAGUGAGCCACGGCACAGACUCCUACGGGGGGCAGCGGUGGGGAAUUUUGGACAAUGGGCGCAAGCCUGAUCCAGCCAUGCCGCGUGCGGGAAGAAGGCGUUCGGGUUGUAAACCGCUUUUGUCAGGGAAGAAACGGCUCCUACUAAUACUGGGGGCUAAUGACGGUACCUGAAGAAUAAGCACCGGCUAACUACGUGCCAGCAGCCGCGGUAA